UUCCCAUGGGUGAGCCCUUUUCAGGAACUUAUUGCUCCGCAGACUGUCUGAGCUGUGGCCCCACAUGCUGACUUAAAGCCUAUGAAAUGAGAAAACUGUCUUCUUGGUUACAUUUUGUGUGGAAGUCUCCAGUGUUGGCAGAGGAUUUUGUUUCCAUUGUUUGCUUGUCAAGAUCACACAGAACUGAGUCAUAAGGGAAGUGCCCCGUUGCUGACAAGGACUUUGCCAGCAAGAAAGUCAUCACCAGGCAUGGCUUCUCAACCGUGUACCUCCAGGACCAUGAGACGAAAUAAACCCU